rnacentral:lncRNA from 1 species
CUCUAAAACAAUACUGCAGUUAAUAUCAGGUAUAUUGGUCAUUGCCUAAUCAGUAACUAGAUCUGUAAGGUAUAGUCCCUAAAUGAAAUUGCUGGGUCCAAGGAAAAUGCAUUGGUAAUUUCAGUAAAUAGAGCCAAAUCGCUCUUUACAGUGAGCGUUCCCACUACAGUGCGUGAAAGUGGUGUUCUCCUCACAUGUGCUAACGCAACAUGGGACCAUAGGCAAGUCACUAAACUCUCUGUGCCUCAGUUCCCUUAUCUGUAAAAUGGGGAUGAUGGUGCAACCCACCUCAUGGGGUUACCGUGAGAACUAAAUGAGUUACUCCAUGCAAAGUGCUCGUAACAGUGCAAGGCACAUGGCAAAUGCUGUGUGAGUGUUAGUAAUUAUUGUUAUCAUUGUCAAGCUUUUUAUUUGUCAGUCUGGUUGGUGAAAAGCGGUAUUUUGUUGUAGUAGUUUUGUUCAGCAUUUAUCUUAUUGUAUGUGAGAGUAAGCAUUGCUUUAAUUGUUAAAAACCAUGUGCAUUUCCUUUUCUGUGAAUUGUUGAUACAAUCCUCUUACACACUCCUGUCAUUUCUGCUCAUAAACCAUUGGCUAGAACUAGUCAUUCCAUUGGCAGAACUAGUCGUUCCAUUGGCGAGAACUAGCCAUGUUAACUGCAAAGAGGGUGCUGCUGGGAAAUGUAGUCUAAGUCUGUACCGUGUGUGUUUUUCAUAUCUGUGUCCCCCCGUGCCCAUUUUGGACUAAGAGAGCUAAUUAUUUAUUUAAUUUAGUAUUUUUUCAAACAAUUAGUUAAUGGACUUAUUAAUUUUAUUACUUGUUUUCCUAUUUUUAAUUCAUCAGUUUCUGUUUUAUAUCAUUUUUUUCUUUCAGUCUGCAAUCUUUAGGUUUAUUUUGUUACUUUUCAAUCUUCUUGACUUGGGUCCUUUAUUUCUUUUCAUUUGGCCUCAGUUAUUAAAAUGUUGAAGGCUAAAGUUUCUUCUGAACGCUGCUUUAGCCGUGUUCCGCAUGUUAUUCUAUAUAGUGAUCUUUAUUGUCUAGAUAUCUGUCAGCUCUGAGUUUGAUUUUUAGCUAAGAAUUAUCCAAAAUUUUAAAAUUAAAUUCUUGUUUCUUUUGUUAUACAUUUCUAGAUGUCUUUCAUUGGCACUAGAGAACGUCAUCUGCUCCAAUGGUACUUUUCUUGAGUCAAUUGGUCUAAUAUAGAGUCAUUUUAUGAAUAUUCUAUGGGUACUUGAAGAGAAGAAAAAAACUUAUUCUUUAUUUUUGGGUAUAUAUAUACACACACACACACACACAUACAUAUAUAUAUAUAUUACAAUAAAGCAAAUGAGUAAUUAUAAGGUUAUAAGGAAUCAAACUGAUUUUCAGCAUAUGAUAAAAGACGCACAAAUAUAAAAUCACAUAAAGUUAAGUAAAAACCUUGUAAUCUCUAAAUUGAAUUGGAAGUGCUACAUUAAACUUAUGAUUAAUUUUCUCUUUCUAAUGCAUACAUAUGCAUUUUCUAACUCUGUCUACUGCAAAGGCAGUAUGGUGGUCUUAAAACAUGUCCACAAGGUCUUGAGGAAAUUACGUUAAGUGAAAUAAGCCAGAUAGAGAAGGACAAUCUCUGUAUGACUCCACUCAUAUGAGGAAUUUAAACAUGUGGACAAAAAGAACAGAUUAGCAGCUACCGGGGAAAGGGGGGGUUGGGGGGGGCACAAAGGGUGAAGGGGUGCACCUACAACAUGAGUGGCAACAAUAAUGUACAAAUGAAAUUUCACAAGAUUGUAAACUACCAUAAACUCAAUAAAAAUUAACUUAAAAACAAAAACAAAAACAUGUCCACAAGGUAAAUAAACGUCGAAUUACUAUGUUGUACACCUGAAACUAAAAAAAAAAAAGUGUGCAAAUUCCUUGACACUCCUUUCAUCAUGACACAGAGUUUAUGUCCCCUCCCUUUGAACCUGGGUAGGGGGUGUGACUCUC